rnacentral:lncRNA from 1 species
GUGCACCUGUCUGGGGCCCCUGGAGACAUCCUUAUCUUCAUGCCUGGCCAAGAGGACAUUGAGGUGACGUCUGACCAGAUCGUAGAGCACCUAGAGGAGCUGGAGAACGCGCCUGCCUUGGCUGUGCUGCCCAUCUACUCCCAGCUGCCGUCUGACCUUCAGGCAAAAAUCUUCCAGAAGGCUCCCGAUGGCGUCCGGAAGUGCAUCGUUGCUACCAACAUUGCUGAGACGUCUCUGACUGUUGACGGCAUCAUGUUUGUCAUCGACUCUGGCUACUGCAAGUUAAAGGUCUUCAACCCCAGGAUCGGCAUGGAUGCUCUGCAGAUCUACCCCAUUAGCCAGGCCAAUGCCAACCAGAGGUCAGGGAGAGCUGGCAGGACGGGCCCAGGCUCUACACACAGAGCGCUUACAAGAAUGAGCUCCUGACUACCACUGUGCCUGAGAUCCAGAGGACCAACCUUGCCAACGUGGUGCUGCUGCUCAAGUCCCUGGGGGUGCAGGACCUGCUGCAGUUCCACUUCAUGGAUCCACCCCCAGAGGACAACAUGCUCAACUCCAUGUACCAGCUGUGGAUCCUCGGAGCCCUGGAUAACACAGGUGGUCUCACUUCCACGGGGCGGCUGAUGGUGGAGUUCCCACUGGACCCGGCUCUCUCCAAGAUGCUCAUCGUGUCUUGUGACAUGGGC